rnacentral:rRNA from 1 species
AUUGAACGCUGGCGGCAGGCCUAACACAUGCAAGUCGAGCGGAUGAAGGGAGCUUGCUCCUGGAUUCAGCGGCGGACGGGUGAGUAAUGCCUAGGAAUCUGCCUGGUAGUGGGGGAUAACGUCCGGAAACGGGCGCUAAUACCGCAUACGUCCUGAGGGAGAAAGUGGGGGAUCUUCGGACCUCACGCUAUCAGAUGAGCCUAGGUCGGAUUAGCUAGUUGGUGGGGUAAAGGCCUACCAAGGCGACGAUCCGUAACUGGUCUGAGAGGAUGAUCAGUCACACUGGAACUGAGACACGGUCCAGACUCCUACGGGAGGCAGCAGUGGGGAAUAUUGGACAAUGGGCGAACGCCUGAUCCAGCCAUGCCGCGUGUGUGAAGAAGGUCUUCGGAUUGUAAAGCACUUUAAGUUGGGAGGAAGGGCAGUAAGUUAAUACCUUGCUGUUUUGACGUUACCAACAGGAUAAGCACCGGCUAACUUCGUG